rnacentral:rRNA from 1 species
UACGUAGGGCGCAAGCGUUAUCCGGAAUUAUUGGGCGUAAAGGGCUCGUAGGCGGAUCGGCAAGUCUGACGUGAAAUCUCCACUGCUCAACAGGGAGAGGUCGCUGGAUACUACCGAUCUUGAGUAUGGUAGAGGACCAUGGAAUUCCGCGUGUAGCGGUGGAAUGCGUAGAUAUGCGGAAGAACACCCGGUGGCUAAGGCG